AUGGAAAUGAGGAGUCAUCUUCUUGGAACUACAGAUGGAAAAGAGGAGAAAGUGGUGACAAGGGGAGAUGCAAGUCUUGGUCCUGUUUGUGGCAAAUCAUUAGGUCCUUCUAUUACUUUGUAUUUGAAAACUGAUAUUUCCUUCUCUUGGAUGACACAAAGAAGCCAUUUAGUCCCAUGCACAUUGUACUUCUGUUCUGCCAUGUUCAAGUUGCCAUUUCUCUAUAUAGAAUUAUUUUUCACUUUGCCCAAUUUUAUUUGGUUUUAUGCUAUAUCCUGUGUGAAGGAUUCCUUUAUAUUGUGGAACAUAUUUGCUUUGAUCAUAAAAUAUAUUCUCAAAGUCACCCUCCACCAAAUGAGAUGAAAUCUCUUAACAUUAUAGAUUUUAAGCCUUAAUGUCAAGAGGAAAUUUGACGUGUUGUUACCCUGGUAGAUUGGAACCAACUCAGCUUUCUGAGGCAUGGGAAGUAUCCUAGGGUCCUGAUAGAGGUUAUAUAGAUAUGGAUAUACAUAUAAAUAUAUCAAUAUAGAUUUUUCCCCAUCUGAGCAUCCCAGAAAACAUACAUUUCAAGAGAAUAAUCCUAGAUCUAUUUUAGAAAAAAAAAAAAAACCAACAAUUCCCAAGACCUCCCUUGGAAAGGAAAGCAAGUGAUAAAUUGCAAGUCUCACUUAAAUUGCCACCCUCUUACUUGACAAUGUAAAUAAAAUGUUCUUCUGUGAAUGAAGAUGUAGGAGUCAGAAUAGCAUGACAAAUCUCUGUUUAUAUAGUUAUUAUCAAAAUAUUACUAACAAAUAUGCUUCCAUCAUCUUUUGGGGAGUAAUUGAUGGCAACAUGAAUGUUUAAUUUGAUACAUCAGAUAAAAAGCAAUGAGGAAUGGCACAUAUGUUGCUCUUCCUGCCACUAUUAUCACUGUUACUCAAAAGAAACAUUUAUGGAGCAUUGACCAUGGACACUUAUUAAGCUCAAAGGGGAUAAAACAAAGAACUGACAAGAGUUGCAAACAAAAGAUUAAAUAGAUGGGUAUAUAGGAAUAUGGAUAGAUGAUUGAUGAAAAGAAAGGAAGAAGGGAGCAAGGAGAUGGUGCCCAUGGGUAUGGAUUUGUGGCCUCCAGAAAUUCCCAGGAAUGAGAGCUCCUUUUCCAAGAGUUGCCCAGCAACAACCUCUCCCCACCAAAAAGAAAUAAACACUCUUCCUUCGAAAUAUAACUCAGCAGCCAUUUCAGGCAGGAGGAUUAUUGUGAAUGGGAUGUAUGCUAUCUGUCACUCUCACUGGCAAACCAAGCCAAAGAUGGCAGUGGGAGAGAAAGUGGAGUUGAAAGGAAGAGUUAGAUAAAAAGACUACAGAGAAGAGGGAAAGUGCAGGAGGGGAAGAAAAGAGGCAAGGAAAGAACAUAGAGGCAAUAGUCUAAAGCCAUCUAACUGGGCACAAUGAGUGUUCUGUAGCAUUCCAUAUGCUCACUGCCAAGCAUUGCUCCUUGCGGCUCAUCUGUAUUUCUUACCAAUGAGCAUCUAUUAUGCACCAGGUGCUCAGCUAGUUGCUCACAUAUGCUGUUUCAUAGCUACUGUCAUUGUCAGUAUUGAGAAAAUAACAAAUCUAGGUGAUAAUGAAGACACUGAUGAUGACCUCAACCUUGUGAUGUUAGCUCAUUCCAUCAUUCUCAGAUGCAUAGGUACUUAAAGAGCAGAUAAAUGGCUUGUUUUGGUUUUGCCCACAACCACUUGGUGGGGCAAGGAUUACUGUCACUAUUUGUAAGAGGAGUAAACAGAAAUGAUCCUUCAACGAAAUCUCAAAAUGAUAUCCACUUUGUUUCUGUCCACUGUUAUGACUUGAGGGUCUCAGAUGCAAUCCACUAAGCCCUGGUUUUCUUUAGUUCUAUAAGGGAUAGCCAGCCAGUUCUCAUCAUCUCCACUCCUUUAACUAGUGCUUGUCUGAGCUUCCUUGCUUAGUGAGCUGAGGAGUCACAAAAUUUUAUCUACAAGGAAAUGAAUUUAAGCCCGUGUUUUGGAUACUGUUAAGCCAAAGGAAUCAUCUCACUCUGAUGAAUGACUCAUGGUUUUAAGUGUAAAGAGGGAAGAAAGCUCCUCAAGGCAUUGGCUGGUGGCAGAUCUACUAUCUACUCAUAGUUCCCAUCUUCCUCUUGAAGAAGGUCAGGAACAUGGAGCCACCUUUAGAACUCUGCAGACCAACAGACCAACAGAAAGAGAUGAGGCCACUCUUCUAUUGGGACACACAAAUGUGACACUGUGAUUUUCCCCAGGGUCCCCACCACCAAAACUCAUAUAUACUGAUCCAAGCAGCCUAGGUCUACUGGCCUCCAAAACUACUGUGGACUCACCAUGUUCUUCAUUUUAGGUGACAGCAAAGAAGCCAAUCAUGACAUCAUGUCAACUUCAACUUGCCCUGUCCAUUCUUGGACACACGAGUGCUCAAUUUCCCAAUCAGACAGGUCCCUGGUCAAUCCUAGGACCCUGUAUGCAAUUACUUGAUAUGUGUAACUAAAAACACAAUUGGUUUCUUUAUCCAUGUAUUUAGUGGAACCUAACUGAACUGCUACUGUGCUCGCUCUCUCUGCUGGUUGCCUGGGCACAGAGAUGACCAAGACAUGUAAGAGGUCAGAGUCUCUACACAUGUGCUAUUGUAAAAUAAAACAAUCCUUCAGUUCAGUUCAGUUCAGUCACUCAGUUGUGUCCAACUCUUUGCGACCCCAUGAAUCGCAGCACACCAGGCCUCCCUGUCCAUCACCAACUCCCAGAGUUCACUCAAACUCAUGUCCAUCGAGUCAGUGAUGCCAUCCAGCCAUCUCAUCCUCUGUCGUCCCCUUCUCCUCUUGCCCCCAAUCCCUCCCAGCAUCAAAGUCUUUUCCAAUGAGUCAACUCUUCUCAUGAGGUGGCCAAAGUACUGGAGUUUCAGCUUCAGCAUCAUUCCUUCCAAAGAAAUCCCAGGGCUGAUCUCCUUCAGAAUGGACUGGUUGGAUCUCAGGAGACACAUAUUAUCUAUUUGCCCUGUUC
rnacentral:lncRNA from 1 species